CUUUUACAUCCUGAUGGUAAAAAUAGCUGAGAACCCCUUGCUGAUAAGAGACCUAAAAAAGAGAGGCAGUGGGAGUGCGGCUGCCCCAUUUCUGGUUAAUUAAAACGGGAACGUUUCCUCUGUUUCCAGCCCUCCGUGGUUUUGUUUCUUUCCUUCCAAAACACCAAACUUCCAGCAUUAGAAGCACACCUUAAGAAGCACACGUCCCAGCUGCUCCCAUGAGGGGGAUGCACCCAGCACUGAGCACCCCAGGGCAGUGCCCCACUCCCACCCGCCCCUCUGCUGGUGGGGGCAGAGCGUUUCUCUAAGGGCCCAAACUUUCCCUUGGUUAUAAAGCUGAUUUUCACCCAGAGGGUGGUGACGCACUGAACAGGUUGCCCAAGGAGGCUGUGGAUGCCCCAUCCCUGCAGGCAUUCAAGGCCAGGCUGGAUGUGGCUCUGGGCAGCCUGGUCUGCUGGUUGGCGACCCUGCACAUAGCAGGGGGUUGGAAUGAGAUGAGCAUUGUGAUCCUUUUCAACCCAGGCCAUUCUAUGGUUCUGUGAUUCUAUGAUUCUAUGAAAAGGGUUUUUGUAGCAUUCAAGAAGAUGUGAAGACCAAGUGAACUUUGGGCAUGUGUCCUACAAGCACAAAACCUGAGGAAUCAUUAGAAAUUCUGUGUAUUUAGAACACACUGAGCUUGAAAAGCACUCAUUGUCUUGAAUCUAAGAGCAUCUUACUCAAAUGCAGUGCAGCCAUUUUCACCUGUUUGGUUAC
ensembl:lncRNA